CUCCAAUCACAGACCUACCACCUAGUUCAGGUCUUCAUCACCUCUUGCUUGAACUAUUAUAGUAGCCUUCUAAUUGGACAC
rnacentral:pre_miRNA from 1 species